UUAAUAAAUACAUGUUCUCACAUUGAUAUCCUGAUCCAAGUACCUUUUAAACAAUUACUGACAAGUUUGAUAUACUAUUUCUAUUUCUAUAUUUCUAGCUAGUAGCUGAGACAUUCAGCUCUGAAUUCAUAAUUUCAUUCGAUUAUUUCAUCAAUUUCCUAAAGGACUGACUAAAUUUAAGUUCUCAAGUAUAUUUUUUCCUACAAAAUUUUUUGUUCCAGUUAACGAAAUUUCGUGGUCUUCAUUUAAUUACGGGAUGCAGUCUUCGUGUCGAACGAAUCAGAGCCUCAGGGAGCUAUUGGUGUUCUUUCCAGAGCGAAUAAAGUGCCUUCCUGUAAGAUGAUUUCCGAGUGUAUUGCGGCUGUGGUGAAAGUCGGCCAGAAGGCAUACAGAUAUUUCCAGCCACCGACCCCUGAGCCACCGGUCGUCGUCGUCUGGACUUCCCACUGCGCCCACUGUGUGGGGGUCCCGGCUGGACCCAUCAUACUCGCGCUUCUUUUCAAGCUUAUCUACGACAUUAUCAACAUACGAAGCGCAACAAAUGUUGGAGUGGAUCCGGCAGAAAAACCGGAGCCUGCCGAAGGGGAAGGACUGGUGCCCGCAGAGCAGGACAUAGAGCGUCCUGCUGCUGAAGGCGCAGCCCGACAGGAAGGUGGCGACGCAUGGUAUGGGGAUCCGCUUCGUGGAUUUAAUCUGCAUUGAUUUCGUUGCUAUUGUUGAUAUUGCGGCGCGAGGAAUCGGAGACGGCUGACCGAGUUCAGCUCAUCCCAACUGACGCCCGAGUCAUCGGAUGACUCGGAUGGUGGAGUGGCAUCUACCUCGGCAGCUGCCGGUUGUUGCUGUUGUUGUUGUUGUCGGAUCGGAAACGCUUCUCCUCCAAACCGAUGGCGUGGCUGUUCCCGUUAGCUCUGCGCUUGUGUAAAGUCUGACGCUCGGCCGAAGGGCUUUAAUAGAUGGGAUGAUGUACUAUUGAUUUUGAUUGUGUCUAAAAUAAGGUUUAAGCCAAAACAAUUUCCACUUAA